AGUAGCACCUUAGAGACCAACUAAGUUAGUUAUUGGUAUGAGCUUUCGUUUGCAUGCACACUUCUUACAAAUAACUAACUUAGUUGGUCUCUAAGGUGCUACU